GACGAACGCUGGCGGCGUGCCUAAUACAUGCAAGUAGGACGCACAGUUUAUACCGUAGCUUGCUACACCAUAGACUGUGAGUUGCGAACGGGUGAGUAACGCGUAGGUAACCUGCCUAUUAGAGGGGGAUAACUAUUGGAAACGAUAGCUAAUACCGCAUAACAGUAUGUAACACAUGUUAGAUGCUUGAAAGAUGCAAUUGCAUCGCUAGUAGAUGGACCUGCGUUGUAUUAGCUAGUAGGUAGGGUAAUGGCCUACCUAGGCGACGAUACAUAGCCGACCUGAGAGGGUGAUCGGCCACACUGGGACUGAGACACGGCCCAGACUCCUACGGGAGGCAGCAGUAGGGAAUCUUCGGCAAUGGGGGGAACCCUGACCGAGCAACGCCGCGUGAGUGAGGAAGGUUUUCGGAUCGUAAAGCUCUGUUGUUAAGGAAGAACGAGUGUGAAAAUGGAAAGUUCAUACUGUGACGGUACUUAACCAGAAAGGGACGGCUAACUACGUGCCAGCAGCCGCGGUAAUACGUAGGUCCCGAGCGUUGUCCGGAUUUAUAGGGCGUAAAGCGAGCGCAGGCGGUUAGAAAAGUCUGAAGUGAAAGGCAGUGGCUCAACCAUUGUAGGCUUUGGAAACUGUUUAACUUGAGUGCAGAAGGGGAGAGUGGAAUUCCAUGUGUAGCGGUGAAAUGCGUAGAUAUAUGGAGGAACACCGGUGGCGAAAGCGGCUCUCUGGUCUGUAACUGACGCUGAGGCUCGAAAGCGUGGGGAGCGAACAGG
rnacentral:rRNA from 1 species